rnacentral:rRNA from 1 species
GACGAACGCUGGCGGCGCGCUUAACACAUGCAAGUCGAACGGAAAGGCCUGCUUUCCCUUGUGGAUUGCGGGUACUCGAGUGGCGAACGGGUGAGUAAUACGUGAGUGAUCUGCCCCCAACUUGGGUAUAAGCCUGGGAAACUGGGUCUAAUUCCCGAUAGGACUGCAGGGUGGUGCCUGUGGUGGAAAACGAUUUUCUAGUGGUUGGGGAUGAGCUCGCGGCCUAUCAGCUUGUUGGUGGGGUAAUGGCCUACCAAGGCGGCGACGGGUAGCCGGCCUGAGAGGGUGGACGGCCACAUUGGGACUGAGAUACGGCCCAGACUCCUACGGGAGGCAGCAGUGGGGAAUAUUGCACAAUGGGCGGAAGCCUGAUGCAGCGACGCCGCGUGGGGGAUGACGGCCUUCGGGUUGUAAACUCCUUUCGACCGCGAGGAAGCCACCUGGUUGGAAGGGUGGUGACGGUAGUGGUAGAAGAAGCACCGGCUAACUACGUG